rnacentral:lncRNA from 1 species
CCUAAAAUGUCAAAAUUUUCACCUAUUCAAGAAAGUAGAGACCUUGAACCUGAUUAUUCAAGCUAUAUGACUUCUAGCACUUCAUCUAUUGGUGGCAUUUCCUCCAGGGCAAGGCUCCUUCAAGAUGACAUCACUUUUGGCCUCAGAAAAAAUAUUACAGACCAACAAAAAUUUAUGGGAUCUUCUCUUGGCACAGGACUGGGCACAUUAGGAAAUACCAUACGCUCAGCUCUGCAGGAUGAAGCAGAUAAGCCAUACAGUAGUGGCAGCAGGUCCAGACCUUCCUCCAGACCUUCCUCUGUCUAUGGGCUUGAUUUAUCAAUUAAAAGGGAUUCUUCUAGCUCUUCCCUAAGACUGAAAGCUCAAGAGGCUGAAGCUCUAGAUGUUUCCUUUAGUCAUGCAUCAUCCUCUGCCAGAACUAAGCCGACCAGUUUGCCCAUUAGUCAAAGUAGAGGAAGAAUACCAAUUGUGGCCCAGAAUUCUGAAGAAGAAAGCCCACUCAGUCCUGUUGGCCAGCCAAUGGGAAUGGCCAGGGCUGCAGCUGGACCCCUGCCACCAAUAUCUGCAGACACCAGGGAUCAGUUUGGAUCAAGCCACUCAUUGCCUGAAGUUCAGCAACACAUGAGGGAAGAAUCACGGACUCGAGGCUAUGACCGUGACAUAGCAUUCAUCAUGGAUGACUUCCAACAUGCCAUGUCAGACAGUGAAGUCCCAAGGGGAGAUGUGUUUGAAAUGCAUGUAUGGUUAACAAGCCUAGUGCAUGCUAGUACUACAGAACAUCUGCUGCCCUCAAUCAUCUAU